rnacentral:rRNA from 1 species
AUGGAGUGCCUUACUAAGAUGAUCAAGAAUGCCCAGAAAAGCAAUCUCAUUGUGGGGCUGGCCUCGGACUUAAUUCCUCAUGGGGUUGCGGUGCUACAAUAUGCAGAUGACACGAUCAUCUGUCUGGAGCAUGAUAUAGAAAAAGCUACCAAUCUUAAACUCCUGUUAUAUAUUUACGAGAUGAUGUCUGGCCUCAAAGUUAAUUUUCAUAAAAGUGAGAUUUUAACUGGGGGGGAUGCCCAGAUUACCAGAGCUUAUGCCGAUCUCUUCAAUUGUGACAUAGGUCAAUUUCCUCUUAAGUAUUUGGGUAUGCCGGUUAGCUUCACAACUCUUAGAAAUUCUAACUGGGAAUUCAUUGUCGACAAAUACCUCCUUAGAUUUGAUGCGUGGGUUGGUAACCCUGCCUGUAUGGGUGGGAGACAUACCCUGUUAGACUCGGUAGUUACUCAGCUAUCUCUGUACCACAUGUCUAUGUGGCUGAUGAACAAAACCUUCGUGGAAAGGUUGGAUAAGCAUAGGAGGAGAUUCUUCUGGCAGGGGUGCAACAAGAAAUGGAGAUACCACCUGGUCAGAUGGAAUAGAAUCUGCAGAUAUAAAGAUAAGGGUGGGCUUGGAGUUAAAGAUUUACGCAAGCAGAAUAUUAGCCUUAUGCUUAAGUGGUGGUGGAAGUUAGACACCCAGAAUGGGAUCUGGCAAGAUAUUGUCAGGGCUAGAUACUUGCGUGAUCAAACUAUUGUCACCGUGGGGCCUCGUUUCUCUGACUCACCCUGCUGGAAAAAACCUGCUGAAAAUUAA